CGCGGAUUUGUAACCAGAAAAGAAUUCGCGGAGGUGAGACGCUAUGACGGACAAAACCACGAAAAAUUAACAAGGACAUCGCUGUUCUUCGGGGAAGUGUUCUAGGUCCAAUUAUUGCUAGCUGCUUCAAGAGAUACCUUUCUUCUAUCACAAGAUCUGAAAUGGAGGUAUGUUCUGACAAUGUAAUAGUGUAAUUUUCUAUUGCUAUCUAUUCUUAUAUGCAGCAAUGUCUAUUCAACAGCAGACUUGGGUUGAUAAGUUACAUUUUCACCAUAUAUUGUCAAACUAUGACAAACUCCAACAAGAGAAAGUCCAACUGUUUGCCUUUGACAUCAAUGGCAUUCCCAUUGUUUAAUUUUCAGCCUCAACAACCACCUUGCACCAUUUCUUCUUUAACAUCUGGAGGAGAGAGGUGAUGUUGGUUGGUCAUCAUUGAACAUAAACUUAACUGGACCAGCUACAUGCUGAGUUUACAAGAAAAGAUUUUUGAGCAUCUUUCAAAUGUGAAGCGGCUGAGUGCAGCAGGAGGGAGCUGAAAGGGAAGGGAAUUGGGAAGGGGAGGUAUUGAAAAAAUAUCUUUUUUUUGAAAAAGAAAAUCAUUCAGUAUUUCAAGAAACGUACCAUGAGAUCCGCAACCUGCUGAGAGUCAGAUCAGAGGCAAUCAAGUGUGGCGACCAAGAAAGUUACAAGAGGUCCAGGUAUGAUCUCCAGAAUGUCAUCUUACAAGCAAAAUGUCAACUCCAGACUAAACUUGAAUCAAUGACUGAUGCUCAACAGCUGUGGCAAAGUUUGAAUGCUCUUGUAAAGUCAAGUCAAAUGACACAGGCAACACCAGAGCUUUGUUUUCACAUGAGCUCAAUGCCUUCUCUGCUCACUUUGAUGAUCCAAACAUAGAGGAACCAUCAUGAACUCCCAUGGACCCCAUUGAUCCUGUGAUUUCAGUCUCUGAGGCAGAUUUGUGAGCAUCCUUCAGGAGGGUGAACCCACAGAAAUCACCUGCCUCAAAUGGGGUACCUGGCCGAGUACUAAAGACCUGUGCUGAUCAACUGGCUGGAGCGUUCAUUGAGAUCGUUACCUCUCGUUCUCGUAGGUUUUUGCAAAUAAAAUGGCGGACGCAAAUUAUAUCUAAGAAAAAUCACAACAACUCACUUAUUGUACUCUGAACAUUGAACACAAAAAGUAGGUCAACAGAACUUCACGUAAUACGUCAUCAAGUCAGACCAGCCUCUUAAAGUGUACUCCAACUCAAUAUCAGUGGUCGUGAAUUAUGUACAUUCCUACCAGUUACAGCCUUAACAGCACCCACCCAGAAUUCACUGAAACCAUCAUUGUGAGCCUGUUCAGAGUUCAGAAGGCAGAACGGGCAUGUUGGUGUGUGUUGUGGCAGAUGAGAACAUCUGUUCGUCAACAGGAACCCAAGAGGUGCUGUACGCAUGAUAGGAGAUCAGUUUCGGACCAAGGUAUUAUGCCAAGAGAACGCAUCGAUAUAGUAUAACAGAAGUGUUUAUUGUCUUUGUUAUAUUUCUACUGUUGAGCUCUGUUUUGCAGAUUGUUUUAAGCUUCUAAGUAAAUUCUGUCUAAAGUUUUACCUUUAUCACACUAUGAUCAAUUUUCUUUGCUUGUUGAUAUCCCAGAUACAUAUAUGUUUAAUAUUCAUCCAUCGGUUGUAUUGUAUCCUUCUGCUCUGAUUUGUAUUCUGUUAGCUCUAUUGCACCUUUCUUUAUGUUAAAUGUUCUGCAUUUAUCUGGUCCAAAGUUCAUGUUUAUAUUUUUCACUAGUAGUUCUACUAUUUUAAUUAAUUGCUUUAGCUUAACUGAUAAAGCAGUGUAUAAUUUCAAGUUAUCCAUGUAUAAAAAGUGUGUUAACACAUAGUUUAUUUCCUUUUUGUCUGAUUUGAUACCCAAUUUUCAUAUGAUUCAGCAAAUUAGAGAAUUUGGGAAAGGCUUCGGGAGUAAACCCUGAGGACAAAUCCAGAGCUGGAGUCCCUAAGGCAGUCCAAUGUUACCUUCAACCUUGCUCUGGCAACUCCUGCCACGACACCAGCAGCCAAGCUGUAUCGGCCUUUGCCUUUCCCUUGGACAACAUCGGUGUCGUGGAGAGGGGAGACUUGCUGCUUGGGUAACGGCCGGUCUUCCGUACAACCUUGCCCAGGCCUGCGCCCUGGAAACCAUUCCAGGCACAGGUCCAUGGUCUCGCGAGACUAACAGAUGCCAGCAUAGUAUUGUCAUGGUCUUUAGGUUGUUUCUUCCUAGCUCUUGUGCAACUUCAUGUUUUAUGUGGUUUAACCAUGUAUAGGGAUCAAGUUAUUUUUUACUAUCACUCUACUUUGAUCUGCUCUUCGUUGCGCAUUUACUUGCAUGAAGGGAUAUUGUGCUGAAAACUAUUGAAGUUUGUCCUGUAUGCUGUCAUGUUAGUCUCAAGUUCCAUUAGUAAAGGAUACACACGAAUUAUGAAUGUGUUUACUACUACUGACUAUUUCAUGCAUGCCUUUCCUCUCUUAACUGAGUUGUCAGUUGGAAGUGGACUGCUUCACCAGUCGGAGCCUGUGGUGUUGGUGAGUUACUCUGAAUGUGGUUUGUGGCUUUUUCAGGUUUCCCUAUUCGGCAGUGCACCAUUAGCGGUUUGCAUACUGUCAUGUCCAGCGCUAGCUCCAGGCGACCCCCAGGCACCGGCCAUAUCACUCUGUUCCGUAGACAUCUCUCAAUUUCUAAAGUGAAAGGGUUUUGCAUUUUAUACCAACAGCCAGGUUUCAGUUUUAGCAGCCUCUAACAUGGGGAACAAACACUGACGUGUCUGGAUUUGUUCAGGAUUUGUUGGGGAGGGGGAAUGGGAAGUCACAGCUGAUUUUACGCCAAUGGAUGUCUUCACCCCAGAACCCAAACCUCCCUGCAGAGCCCAAAACCGAGCCCCAGCUCUUCAUCUGUCCUCUGGGUUUACGUUGCUAAGUGGUUACCGUUCGAUGAGUUCUCCAAACCCUACCUCUCACUGUCAUCCCACCCUGUCCCAUCCAUGGUGGUGCUGCUGGCUGCCUGCCUCGGUUAUUAGUACUGGAUUUUUUUUCUCAGUUCAAGCUGGUAAUACUUGAGGAACCGGCAUAGCCAAGCACACUCAUUUGACAAUUGCUAGGAACUUUCGGACUGUUCUAGUGCUGUUUAGUAUUGUGGCUUUCUGAAGGCUUACCUAGAUAUUACAGUGUAACUGUUGAUGAAGCUUGUCCAUGCUCUUCCAUUGGUUAAUUUCUUCAAUAGUGAUAAUGUCUUCCAUCUAAAGCAAAGUCCAUCGAUAGGUGAUACCUGAAGGGGUCCUGGGUUAAUAUAUACAAGACAUUAAUAUAGGUAUAGAAAAAGUGUUUAUUGCCUACAUUUUUUUUUACUGUCGAACUCUGCUUGGCAGAUUUUCUUAAGUCUUGAAGUAACUUAUGUCAGAAGUCUUCCCUUUAUCAUGCUAUGAUCUAUUUUCUUUCCUCAUUGAUACCCCUAUAUUUCUUAUUUAUCCAUCAGUUGUAUUAUUAUUAUUAAUAGCGGUACAGUGUGACCCUUCGAGCCACUUUGCCCUAGCAAACCUACAACCCAAUUAAUCCUAAGCUAAUCACGGGACAAUUUACAAUGACCAGUUAACCUACCCAGUAUGUCUUUGGACUGUGGGAGGAAACUGGAGCAUCCAGGAAAACCCACAAAGUCUCCUUACAGAGUGGUGUUAGAAAUGACCUCCGAAAUCCAGAAUGCCCCGCGUUGUAAUAGCAUUGCACUAACUGCUAUGUUGCUACCAUGGUGUCCAACAUUGUUUAAAUGUUGUAGGAAAAAUACUAACCCUUGAUGUGCAGACACCUGGUUAUGAAAUCUAAGAGUCUGCUAGUUUUGUUGAUGUUCUUGUGUACAAAUGCCACAUUGUAAUGAUAUGCAUUCUGAACUAUUAAGUCUAUUUUGAAAUUGUAAUUUCUCAUUUUUAUCAUUUAGAUCUUUUCAAAUUCUCUCCUUACACAUCUGGUAACAAUAAUUGAUAGGCACUAACUCAUCAAAGAGAUAGUCUUUCCCUGUCCUUUCUUAUCAGCAUUCCAGUACAAAUUAAGAUAGUCUCCUCUUGUUCCUUUGUCCACAUCACAAGAAAUAGUAAUCCACAUCUCCAUUUAUAAAAAAGCAUCUCAUGGCUCCCAUUAUCCUGAUAAAGUUGACUUCGCCCCUCAGAUUUCCAGAUGAAGAUAAGACAUUGAAGAUGCUCCAUUGGGAUGUGAUUCAGUGUAGAUCAAAAACAUUUUAGAUCUUAAAUGCAUCACUGUUAAUAAAUCAACUACAAUUAAAGUUUAUUGCUGGAAAGGUGUCUAUAAAUAUUUUUAAUAAGUUGUUUCCAGAUACAGCAUGUAGAA